AACCAAGAAUAUGAUGAGAGAGAGAGACAGGCACGGAAAGAGAAGAAGCUUGCCAAGAACAUGACACCAUCUAAGCGUGCAAUGGGAAGGCAGACUGAGGGUCCCACUUUGCUAAAGAAGCGAAAGCAAUUGACAAUGGAUGAUUAUGUGAGCUCAGGAAAGAGGAGGAAGUAAAAGGAGCAUAGACCCCUUCUUUUUUAUUUUUGGUUUAAUAUAUUUUUAGGGGGGAAAGCUUUUAAAAAUAUCUGGUAGUGAAAGUAUCCCACUGAUUAUGAUUUGGAUCCCCAUAGUUUUGCUCACUCAGGAUCACAACGUAUCUUGACAGUUGGUGAGGGAAUGCAAUGCUGCAAGUUGUGGAUGAAGUUAGAGGUUGUAUGGAGUUUUAACUAACACUUGCUAUGUAUUUAUUGACCUUUACUGUUGUUUUAAGAGUAAUCUUUCUUGGGUUUAUCUGUUAAUUUUUGGUUAAUAGUGGUUAAAUUAUUUCUCUGGUUUCCCAUACGAAUUCUGUAAGAUAACUGUGGGCUCGAGGUCUAGUAACUCUUCCCUUUCUAUUCCCGCAAUCAAAUUACAAAUGAGUACAUGCUAAUUGUU
rnacentral:misc_RNA from 1 species